rnacentral:rRNA from 1 species
AGAGUUAAAUAGUACGUGAAAUUGUUGAAAGGGAAACGUUUGACACCAGUUAUGUGGGUGGAAAAUCAGUCUUUGAUAGUGGGCUGUUGUAGUAUUUUGAGCGCAAGCCUGGAUGCUACUUCUAGUUUGUUAAAUGGGAUGCACUUUUUCAUUCACAGGUCAACAUCAGUUUUGCCUGCCGGAUAAAACUCUUGAAAAUGUGGCAGCUUUGGCUGUGUUAUAGUUCUUGAGCGAUACGGUGGGUAGGACUGAGGCUAUUUUUUUUUGCAGCAUGUGCUCUCGGGCAAGGUCAGAUGGGAUGCUAUGGUUUUUUGGAAGGCAUAGACCCUUGUGGUGCUGUGUCUUUCAUUGACUGUACUCGUUCUAUUCACGCUUCCAUGCUUAAGAUGUUGACUUAAUGGUUUUAAACGACC